AUCCUUUAGUUCAUAAGUGCGAUGAUUGGGUGUUCACACCAUUGUGUGAGAUGUUUGACCCUUGAACCUUGUUAUGUCAGCAUAUACCCUUCUGAUG
ensembl:snoRNA